ACGGGGUGCAGCAGGCGCGAAACCUCCGCAAAUAGAGCGUACAGAGGAUCUUAAGCCUCUGUACGCUCUAGCGGAAUGCGGGAAACCGUGACGGGGUCACCCCGAGUGCCCCGAAGAGGGGCUUUUCCCCGCUGUAAGAAGGCGGGGGAAUAAGCGGGGGGCAAGUCUGGUGUCAGCCGCCGCGGUAAUACCAGCCCCGCGAGUGGUCGGGACGAUUAUUGGGCCUAAAGCGGCCGUAGCCGGCCCGGUAAGUCCCCGCUGAAAUCCUCGGGCUCAACCCGUGGGCUGCGGGGGAUACUACCGGGCUUGGGGGUGGGAGAGGCGCCCGGUAUUCCCGGGGUAGGGGUAAAAUCCUCUGAUCCCGGGAGGACCAUCAGUGGCGAAGGCGGGGCGCCAGAACACGCCCGACGGUGAGGGGCGAAAGCUGGGGGAGCAAACGGGAUUAGAUACCCCGGUAGUCCCAGCUGUAAACGAUGCGGGCUAGCUGUCGGGGCGGCUACGGGCCGCCCCGGUGGCGAAGGGAAGCCAUUAAGCCCGCCGCCUGGGGAGUAC
rnacentral:rRNA from 1 species